ACAUUGAAAGCGGCAUUUGUUCGAAAUUAACUGUACGUACGCAAUGCGAAAAAAGCAACAAUUGUUCUGAAAUCUAGAAGUUUCAUUGUAAAGUGUCUUUUUAUGUCAAUUGUCAAUUGAGUUGUGAAUGUUUGAAUGUGAUACAAACUUUAAGUGAGCCCGAGAAUGUCUGCGAAGAGUUCAAUUCAGGUGUGCAUCAAGGUGCGCCCCUGCGAGGCCGGCGAUUCCUCUGUGUGGGAAGUAAAGGAGGGCCGCUCCAUACAUCUUAUUGACAGCCAAGCCGAUCCGUGCGUCUUCGACUAUGUAUUCGACCAGACUGCACACAAUCAGGAGGUAUUUGACCGCAUGGCCAAGCAUAUCGUCCAUGCAUGCAUGCAGGGCUUCAACGGCACUAUUUUUGCCUAUGGCCAGACGUCAUCAGGCAAAACCUACACAAUGAUGGGAGACAACCAGAACCUCGGUGUUAUGGUACUGGCCGCUAAGGAAAUAUUUAAGCAGAUAGCCAACGAAAACGAUCGCGACUUUCUGCUGCGUGUGGGCUAUAUUGAGAUCUAUAACGAGAAGAUCUAUGACCUUUUAAACAAAAAGAACCAGGAUCUGAAGAUACACGAGGCAGGGAAUGGCAUCGUGAACGUGAACUGCGAGGAAUGUAUUAUAACGAGCGAAUCGGAUCUGUUGCGCUUCCUUUGCAUGGGCAACAAGGAGCGCACAGUGGGCGAAACCAAUAUGAACGAGCGUUCCAGUCGCUCCCAUGCCAUCUUUCGUAUCAUCAUUGAGUCGCGCAAGAGCGAUCGCACUGACGACGAUGCCGUCAUUCAGAGCGUCCUGAAUUUGGUAGACUUGGCCGGUUCGGAGCGGGCAGAUCAGACGGGUGCGCGCGGUGCUCGCCUCAAGGAGGGCGGCCACAUCAACAAGAGUCUGCUGUUCCUCAGCAAUGUGAUCAAGAAUUUGUCUGAAAACGUUGACAACAAGUACAUAAGCUUCCGCGACUCCAAGUUGACGCGAAUACUGCAAGCCUCGCUGGGCGGCAACGCCUUUACGUCCAUAAUAUGCACCAUCAAACCCUCGAUCAUCGAGGAGUCGCAGUCGACCAUCAAUUUCGCCAUGCGUGCCAAGAAGAUCCGCAUCAAGCCCGAGGUCAACGAGAUGGUGUCCGAUGCCACAAUGAUGAAGCGACUGGAGCGUGAGAUUAAGGAGCUGAAGGACCGCCUGGCCGAGGAGCAGCGCAAGAACGAGAGCCAGCUCAAGGUGAAGCAGCUUGAGAACCGCAUUCAGAACGACAUGCACAAGAUCAUUACCAGCAACUCGCUGAACGACAAGCGGUUGCAGAAGCGUCGCCGCACCUGGUGUCCUGCCACCUCCAUACCAGAGGGUGGCCUGCCCACACCGCUGUCCUGCAUUCCGGCCGAGCCCAGCCAGGAGCGGCAAUCGAAGGUGUCACAGCUGCCAAAGCCCGUUUUCUUUCCCAACUCUCACAUCAGCCACCGCGCCGACAACGGUCCCAAGACCGUAAAUAUAAUGAAGUCGCUGGACAUUGGCACGGAUGAGGAGUUCGCGCCAGCGGAGCUUAUAGACUUUGGUUGCGGGCCAUCGGAUGCACUGAGGACGAGAGAGCAAAGCAGGGUGCUGCCAGCGCUGGCUCUAACGCCCAACAUUGGGCAGAUGGGAGUGGCAAGCUUGGUGGAGAAAACGAAAAACGAUCGCUUGGAGCUGCAAAUGUUCACCUCGUUAGAGAAGCACUUUGAAGGGGACUGGGAAAAUUCGCAGGCUCUGACAGCGAAGCUGUCCGAGGUCACAGCCCAGCGGGAUGAGCUAGAGUCAGAGAGCCAAAAGAAUGCACAGCGAUGCGAUGCCCUGCAGGCCGAGCUACAGGCAGCCAAUGCCAAGAACUUGGAGUACGAGGAGCAGCUGAAAACCAUGAAGGAGACCAUGCAGAAGUUGGAGUUGGACAACCGUGAGGCUGUUAGCUUGGAGUUCGAAUAUCAGUCCCACAAAACCAAGUCAAAGCUGCGAGAGACGGAUCUACUGUCGGCCCUGUCCGAGAAGGAUUUAACCAUCGAGAAUCUGCAGAAAAGUCUCGACGAAUUGUCUCGCGAUGUCCUGCGCAACAGCAAGGAGGAACAGAUGCGCUCCCCCAUAGUGGAUACAUCGCUGCCCGAGACAAUCUGCGACAAGUGUGUGGAAUUUGAACGUCUGCUGGCCGAUGUCAACGCAAAGCUGGAGAGCGUUCAGCUGUCCUUUAGCCAGAAGACCGAGGACUGUGAACGCCUCAACAUUCUAAUAUCCACAGCCCAUGAUGACAUGGCUGUUCUGCAGGGAAAGUACGAUGGGCUGGAGCUGAAUUGGCAGAGCCAGCAGCAGGCCAUUCAAGCCAUGGAGGCAGACUGCAAUGAACUCCAGCAGAAGUUCCAAAAGCUGCAGCAGGAAUACGAGGAUUUGGGACGAACCUCCAAGGCCAACAAAGAUCAGUGCCUGCAGCUGGAGGCCGAAAACACGGCACUUCAGGCGGAGAUUGUCACACUCAAAGAGCGCGUGGAGGAGGCGCAGCGCUUGCUCUUGGAAACUAGUAAUGAAAAGGCCUUCGCGGAGCAACUGAAAGCGCAAAAUGAAGAGCUCAAAAAAGAGCUUUCGGAGGUGCAGUCGAGCUUCCAGGAAAUGCAGCGCGAAUAUGACUGCUUGUCCAACGAGCUAAUGGAGAGCGUAGAGGAGUGUGAUAGCUUGCGUAGCGAGUGCAACGCUUUGCGAGAGGAGCUGAAGCAGCGCUCCAUGCCCAGUUAUGACAUCGAGUCCAUGAAGAGCUCUGGCGUCGGCACAGAGUGCAGUGAGGCUGAUCUAGAGUCGGAGACAGAUAGCGGAUUUUUGGAGAAGUUUGCCAAGCUGUCAGAUUCGCUGCACGAGAUCGAGCUGCAGCACCGCUCGGGCUGCAGUCGCCUCUUCAGGGCUACCAAGAUUCAGGAGCACAAUGUGCCCGGGCUGAAGCUCUGCCUCGAGUCUGCUACAGACAUACACACCGUCGCGCACACGCUCAAUGACGAUGCAGCCGAUUCCGUGUGCCUGAAGGGCGUGCUGCGACAGCAUAGGUUCCAGAUCAUCAGGCUGACCCAGGAGUCUGCACCCGCUCAAGAAGAUGCGGAGAAGAGACGCCUGCUCGACCACAUUGCUCAGCUGGAGAAUGAGAUUGCGCAGAAGAACAUGCUGAUCGAUGCCACGGAGGGAAAUAUCAACGAGAUGCGCGAACAGAUGACCAACCUGGAGUCGGCGCUACUGGAGAAGUCGGUGAUAGUCAACAAGGUGGAGUCGUAUCAGCGACAGAUCGAGUCUCUAGAGAAGCAGAAUGCUGAGAUAACCAUCGUCUGUGAGGAGCUGCAGGAGAAGGUGAAGGAGAACACAAUGAGCGAGAGCCUCAUGCUAAGUCCUGGCGACGAUACGCUGCCCGGCAACACAUCCACCCCUUUGAUGCUACAGGACCAGGAGUCCGCAGAGAUAGCUGCCCUCAAGGCAUCCCUUUCCGAGCUGAUGGACAAAGUCGCUGAGCUGCAAGGCAAAGUGGAGAACCAACUGUCUCAGAUGCAGCAAAAGGACAACCACAUCGAUGUGCUGCGUGCAGAAAUUGAGGAGCUGAACGAGCGCUGCAUAUCCAUGGAGGUGAAGCAGGUGGAACUUCAGUCGAAUGCCAGCCAGCAGCAGCAGCUCCUCGAACGACAAGCUGAGAAAUUGUCAGACGACGUGCGACGCAUCGAUCAGCUGCAGGAAACCAACGCGAAGCUCGUAGAGCGCAGCAUCAAGGCGGAAGACUCCCUGACGGUGAUGCAGGAGCGUUUGCUUCACGACAAUCGCAUCGAGAGCCUGGAAGAAUCACUGAAGAGUGCCAGAGAUCGCGUCGAAACGCUUGAGGAAGAGCUGAAGAGUGGCAGAGAUUGCAUCGAGGCUCGCGAAGAGGACCUGAAGAGUGCCGGAUAUCGUAUCCAUACGCUUGAGGAAGACCUAAAGAUUGCCAGAGAUCGCGUCGAAGCGCUUGAGGACGAGCUGAAGAGUGGCAGAGAAGGCAAGGAGACGCUUGAGAAAGAGCUGAAGAGUGCCGGAGAUCGCGUCGAAAAGCUUGAAGAAGAGCUGAAGAGUGCCAAAGAUCGCAUCGAGGCUAGUGAGGAAGACCUGAAGAGUGCCAGAGAUUGCAUCAAAACGCUUGAGGAAGACCUGAAGAAUGGCAGAGAUCGCAUCGUGACCUUGGAAGAAUCCAUAAAGAGUGCCAGAGAUCACAUCGAGACGCUCGAGCGGGACCUGCACAGUGCCAGAGAUGUAAUAGACGCCAAUGAGAAGCAGAAAACGGACGAGCUGAACGCCCUGAAGCUCGAGUAUCUUGAUAAAAUAGAGCAAAGCGAGAACGAAUAUCGCAGCAACUUCCGCAAAUACAACGCGGAAUGGGAGGAGGGCAAGGAACGCUACGAACAAAGCGUGUCCAGGCUGAUGGCAGACCAAGCCAAGGCAGCAGCUCAACAUCAGGCAGAGCUAGAGGACAUCAGAACAGAGCAGAAUGCGGUCUUGGAACAGCUGAAGCAGGAGAAGCUCGAGCUGGAGUCGCUGUACGCGAAGAGCCAGGAAUUGGUGGCGAAGCUACAAUUGCAGCUCAACGCCCGAGACCGCAGCUCCACCGAACUGCUAGAUGAUAUGACAGCCACUGCACAGCAGCGGAUUCAGGAGCUUGAAGAGCGAUGUGAGAAGCACAUUUUGGAUUAUGAACAGCUGCGUUCGAAAUUCCAAUCAGACUUGGAAAAGCUGACAGAGGAGAAGGUGGCCCUGCAUUCCGAAAUGAAAGAUGUGGAGGCGCAGCACACGAUCACUUUGGAGAAGAUUCAUCUGCUGGAGCAGCAUCUGGAGACACUAAGCAAACAGACAUGCUCCGAGAAGGCUGAACUACUCGACAAAAUUGAGACUUUCACGUUGAAGAACAGUGACCUGAGUGCAGAGCUGAAGCGGGUUCAAAAGAAGGCUCGGGACUUUGACGACUUAUUCUCCCAGCAUCAGCAGUUGCAGGCAUGCUUGUCCGAAGCCACAGGGGUCAACAUUUCGUUAAGAGAACAAGUGGAGAGUCUUCAGUGUGAGCUCAACAGUGCCCAGGAAAAACAGAGCAAACAAAACGUUGAAAUCGAAGAACUUCGAUCGAAGCUGAAGGGCGCUUUGGAAGCACAGACCUUUGCGAGCACACAGGAGACUGUUCUGAAAAAUCAGCUGCAGGAAAUGGAAGCCAAGAUGAUUGCUGAGUCCGUGGUGUUCAAACGGGAGGUGGAAGGAUUGAGGGGCGCAAGGAACGAGCUAGAGCUGAAGCUGAAUUCGCUGAAAGAGAGUAAAGCGAAGUUGGAGUCGAGCAAUAAAGACCUGGAAGUGACAAUGAAAAAUGCCAAAAACCUUCAAUCUUUGCUGCAAGAGGAGCAAGAACUGUGUUCUAAUUUGCGCGACGUCUCCGAAAAACUGGAGGAAUCCAAUGCGCAGCUUGUGGCUCAACUUAAGGAAAAGGAUGCAGCUUGUGCGUCCCUCCAGGAUUCCGUGUCUCAGCAGAAAUUGGCACUCGAAGAAGCCAACAAGAAAUGCUCGGAAGUGCAGCAGGCCCAACAGUCAGUGGAGGAACUCAAAAAUGAAUGUGAAAUGCUGCGAACAACUCUGCAAACCAAAGAAGAGCAGAUUUGUACGUUGACCAAAAAGGCUGAAUCUAAUUCGGAGCUAGAGGAUCAACUUAAAUUGAGGGAGACAGAACGUAACUCUCUUCGCGUAGCAUUGGUGCAGCAGGAAAAACUGCUUGAAGAAAUGAGCCAGCAAGCUGACGAGGCUCGGAAGUCAGUAGCUGAGCAGACUAACGAGUGUAAAAGGCUACAAAUGGCACUGAGCACCCUUGAGUCGGAGCGUGAUUCUUUGCGUAAUACAGUGGCGCAGCAGGACCAAACUAACGCUGAAACUAAAAAGCAAUUGAUGGAAAUGCAACAGAAAGAUGAAAACAGUCAAAAGUCAGUGACGGCACUCAACAAAGAAUGCGACAGGCUACGCACAACAAUGAAAAAGACUGAGACUAAUUAUCGCACUGAAAGGGAACGCCUAAACGCCACUGUGUCAAGUCUUUUGGAGGACAAGCGAAACCUAGAAGAAAAGCUGUGCACUCUGAAUGAAAUUAUGGAGAAACUACAGGCCGACUUGACUGCUCUUCAGGGACUCAAAGCGAACGCCAGCAAUGCCUCCUUUGAGUCCAAUGCAUCCAGCACGUCGCCGGCUUCCACAGAUCGCCUUGCUGUUCCCAGGAAAUCUAUAAGCUUUGAGUCUGACAUGCGUAAGAACCGACGCCUAAGUGUACACGAUGAUCGUCGCAGGCAGUCCUACUGGAACAAUGUGCGUGAUUGGGGAACCAUGACGGAUCCUGUGGACAACAAUUGCAACUGUGUGGAGCUCAACCGCAAGCUGCAGGAAUGCCAGCGAGAUCUCUUUAUACGGGAGAGCCAGGUGACUGCGUUGAACAUCGAGCUCAAGAACCAUCCACUUAAGGAGGAGAAUGCACAGCUUCGUAAACGUCUUUUGGAGGACCAGGAAAAAGCGCGUGCCGAAGUGAAACGUCUUAAAAUGAAGAAUCAAGAUCUCACUAGCCGUAUCAAUGAUUUGACUGCCGCGGCAGCUGCAUCAGAGUCUCUGCAAGCGGCCCAAGGCCAAGCAUGCAGAAUAACUCCCGCGAUGACCUCGGUAGAUACACAGACGGAGUCUGACUUGGAGACGGUGCUGGAAAAGAUAAACCAAAAGUAUCAAGACUCACUUAAGUUGUGCCGUUUCCGCUACUCUCUGAUCCAAGAUUUGGAGCAGAGACUAAAGCAAAACGAAAACACCGACACCUCCAACAUGACAUCCCUCACAGCCGGUCAAAUCAAUGCACUGAAGACCCAAUGCGAGUCGCAAAAGAAGGAACUGUCUGCCAUGAACGAGAAGUACGAGUACGCGAAACGUGUGCUGAAGAUGCGCAAAGAUGAGGUGGUCGAGAUGCGAAACAAAAUAGCUGCAUACGAAGCAGCCUCUUCAGCUAAAUAAGUCAUUAGAUUUAGCCUAGCUUAGUUGUAUAUAUUAUAAUCGUCAGUUCUUUAUGCCCGUAUCAAGAUCAAAUCGUAAUUCCAUUUAUUUAUUCUAUGUGAAAUCGAAACUUUCAAUAUUUUUGUGGACAUGUAUCGAAUACACAGCUACGCUGCCUAUUGCAUAUUUAUGUGCGAAUCAAAAAUUAUACGCUCCUUAAGAAUUAUGCUUUCCUCUUUAUUUCUGUACUUACAAAUGUGAUAUGAUGAAGCAACAGGUACUUGGGGUAAUACUUACUUUAAUGUGUUGAUCUGAGGAUCAAAUGUACCUGAAUCGAAGAAAAGAAUCUCUCCGUAAGUGUGCAGCAGAUGGAAACAAAAGAUACAACAGUAUUGUUCUUCAUAACGCGGCUUUAUUGUAAUU